rnacentral:lncRNA from 1 species
CUGAAUGCUCAGGCAAAUGCAGAUUCCAGCAUGAUUGGUUAUUUCAAUGGUGACAUCUGUAAGUUUUGGUUCAAAAGACCCCCUGAAACACCAGAAGCCACGCCCCAUGUUAUCCCAUUGUGUUCCAAUCAUAUAAAACCCAUCUCUCCAUGCAUCCAGCCCAAGCCUUAGCCCAUCUCCAUCAGCUACAAGCUUGGCCAGCACAAUGUCUAGUUGCACCUGUAACAGCACCAACAACAUUGUUAGUUCAAUUCCAUACUUAACUGGACCUUACCAGCAUGUCCAAUGUAGUUCUAGACU